CACUCCAGGCCGGCAGUGUUUCUGCUGGUGUCAGAUUCUCAAGAGCCUUGUUGGUGUCUUGUGCAAGUUAUAGAGGCCCAAGCUAUAAAAUCAGAGAGUUUUCCCACAGACGCUUCCUAGGUAACCCCAUCUUCAUUGUAGAUUUCUGCUGAAAGGGUUGAGUGGACCCACAAGUCACAUACCUCAGCUCUGGGGCAAACGCUUGAACAGCCUUGCUGUUCUGUCCAGGGGACACUUUUGCAGUUUUUGUAAUAUGAUUAGGCCGAGAAUUUUCCACAUCUUCGCUUUCUGGCUCCUUUGUGCUCAACAGUUUCUUCCUUAUGUCUCUCACAUUUUACUAUAAGCAGCAAGGAGAAGUCAGGCUACGCUCUCAACACUGCUUGGAAAUCUCCUCAGCUGAAUAUCCAAGUUCAGCACCCAGCACUUACACAUUCUCCUUUCGACAAAACACUAGAACAUAAUUCAACCAAGUUCUUUUUUUUUUUUUUUUUUUGAGACGGAGUCUUGCUCUGUCACCCAGGCUGGAGUGCAGUGGAGCGAUCUUGGUUCACUGCAACCUCCGCCUCCCGGGUUCAAGCGAUUCUCCCACCUCAGCCUCCUGAUUAGCUGAGAUUACAGGCACCCGCCACCACACCCAACUAAUUUUCAUAUUUAGUAGAGAUGGGGUUUCACCGUGUUGGUCAGGCUGGUCUCAAAUUCCUGACCUCAAGUGAUCCUCCCGCCUUGGCCCCCCAAAGUGCUGGGAUUAUAGGCGUGAGCCACCACAUCUGGGCCAAGUUCCUUUAUAACCAAAAGCACCUUUUUUUUUCUUUGUAGAGACAGAGGUCUUACUCUGUUGCUCAGGCUGGAGUUCAGUGGUAUCAUCCCAGUGCACUGUAACCUCAAACUCCUGGGCUCAAGCGAUCCUCUCACCUCAGUCUCCCAAGUAGCUGCGACUACAGGCAUAUGCCACCACACCCAGCUAAUGUUUUAUUUUUUAUUAUUUAUUUUUUGAAUGUAUUGAGACAGGGUCUUGCUCUCUCACCCAGGCUGGAGGGCAGUGGCGCAAUCGUAGCUCAAGUGAUUCUCCUGCCUCAGCCUCCUGAGUAGCUGGGAUUACAGGCAUGCACCACCACACCCAGCUUAUUUUGUAUUUUUUGUAGAGACGGGGUCUCACUAUGUUGCCCAGGCUGGUCUUGAUCACCUGGCCUCAAGUGACGCUCCUGCCUUGGCCUCCCAAGGUGCUGGGAUCACAUGCGUGAAUCACCACACCCAACCCAAAAGCACCUUUAACAUUCAUGUUUCUAGCAACGUUCUGUUCAUGAUGAUAUUUGUAUUCUCUAAGACCACAGAGGCUGUCUCUAUUGCUCUCCCCUCCUCUCACCAGAAUUACCUUUAACAUCCGUACUCCUACCAACAGUCUCUUAAAGGCAAUUCAGACCUUUUCUAACAUGUACCUCAAACUUCUAUAGCCUUGAUGUGGUUUAAAUGUCUACAAAACUCAUGUUGAAAUUUGUCAAUAUAUUGACAAUGAGAGGAGGGCCUUUCUGAGGUAGUUAGGUCAUGAGGGCUCUGCCCUCAUGAAUGGAUGAAUGCCAUUAUUAUGGGCGAGUUAGUUACCUUGAAGUUCAGCCCCCUUUUUUCCUGUGUCUCAUACGUUUGCUUCCACCUUCCACCUUUCUGCCAUGGGAUGACCCUCACCAGAUGCCAGUGCCAUGCUUUUGGACUUCCCAGCCUCCAGAACCAUGAGCCAAAUGAAUCUGUUACCCAGUCUGUGGUAUUCUGUUACGGCAGCAGCAAAUGGACUAAGACAAGCCUCUACUGACUACCCAGUUCCAAAGCCAUUUCCACAUUUUUAGGUAUUUGUUACCUAAGCACCACACUUCUGGUGCCAAAACCUGUAUCCAUUUCCUGGAACUGCCAUUUCAACUGGGUGGCUUAAACAACAGAAGUGGAUUCUCUCCCUAUUCUGAAAGCCAGAAGUCUGAAAUCAAGGUGUCAGCAGGGUGGCACUCACCCUGAAAGUUCUACAGGAGGGUCCUUCCUGACCUCCCCAGGUUCCAGUGGCCCCAGGCAUACCUUGGCCUCUGGCUGUGUCACUCCUGUCUCUUCCUCCACUGUACCAUGGCUGUCUUCCCUCUGUGUGUCUUUGUCACUUCUGUUCUUAUAAGGACAUCAGUCAUGUUGCAUUAAGGACCCAACCUACUCCAGUAUGACCCCAUCUGAACUGCAAAGGCCCUAUUUGCAAAUAUCACAUUCUGAAGUACAAGAGAUUAGAACUUCAACAUACCUUAAGGGGACAGAAUUCAACCCAUAAUAGAAGCCAUCCUGCUCCAGUCCUCCCAACCAACCCCCAUCAAAAUCGGGAGACACCUGCACCCCCUGCCACACUAUCCCCUGCCACACUGCCUUUGCUCUGGUUGGCCUCAUCCAUGCAGCUAGACCCCCAGCCUGACUUACUUCACCCCUGCUUUGUUCCUGGCUGUGCAGUGGCCCAGGCCAGCCCUCAGCAUCCUUUCUUUUCUCCCACCGGUAACAGAAAAUCCUUCUGUCUUGGGUCCCUGUGGCCUCACCAGUAGGACACGGAGUAUGGAAGUGUCCCCAGCCUUGGCCUGAGCCACAUCCCCCUACUUGUGUCCUGCUCUGCGGUCACUUGUUCUACCAUGUGUGCUGGUCCUGACCUCCCCUUCAGAUCUCAGGUGACCUCAGGGCCAGGCCCAUGGAUAACACCUGCUAUCCCUGCCCAGCGCCACGGGCCAGGAAGUACAAGUGUGGCCUGCCCCAGCCGUGUCCUGAGGAGCACCUGGCCUUCCGUGUGGUCAGCGGGGCCGCCAACGUCAUUGGGCCCAAGAUCUGCCUCGAGGACAAGAUGCUGAUGAGCAGCGUCAAGGACAACGUGGGCCGCGGGCUGAACAUCGCCCUGGUGAACGGGGUCAGCGGCGAGCUCAUCGAGGCCCGGGCCUUUGACAUGUGGGCCGGAGAUGUCAACGACCUGUUGAAGUUUAUUCGGCCACUGCAUGAAGGCACCCUGGUGUUCGUGGCAUCCUACGACGACCCUGCCACCAAGUAGGUGCUUGGGGAGGCCAGCCUCAGCCUUGCCCUUCUGCAGCGACAGCUGACACCUCUUCCUCCCAUGCUGCAGGAUGAAUGAAGAGACCAGAAAGCUCUUCAGUGAGCUGGGCAGCAGGAACGCCAAGGAGCUGGCCUUCCGGGACAGCUGGGUGUUUGUCGGGGCCAAAGGUGUGCAGAACAAGAGCCCCUUCGAGCAGCACGUGAAGAACAGUAAGCACACCAACAAGUACGAAGGCUGGCCUGAGGCGCUGGAGAUGGAAGGCUGCAUCCCGCGGAGAAGCACGGCCAGCUAGCACGGCCAGCGCCAGGACCAGGCCGAGGGAGGCCAGACCAAGGGAGGCACGCGUGCUGCCGGGCGGACAGAGGCUGAGGCCCACACCCCAUGCCUGGGCAGGAGCGCUCCCUGGCCCCAACACAUCGGGGCUCCGAGGCAGUGACCAGAACGUGGUCUCAAGGUGGUGGGGGCUAUGGGGGCUGCGGGGGCUAGCCCUGCCGCACUUUGUCAUGGGAGCCCAGGGUACCCGCCUCCUUUUCGUAACACUGUUCCCCCCGGUCAGCCCAUCUCCCUGUCCUCCUCCAUUCCUCACGCCAUCUCUGUCCCCAUCCUGAGUCCUGGAAUGGCCCUGGGUGCCUGCCCCUCACUGUGCAACUCUGGGAGCAGCCCAGCAGGUUGGGGCGUCUUCCAGAACCUCUCCCUUCUGGAGUCACUCUGCACUGCGGGCUAAACAUGUUUCCAAUGUGAUUCCUUCCAGUGAGCCAAACCCGGUGGCUGCUUCAUGAGCCUGACUGCCUCUUGCCUGCUCUCAGCAGGAAGGGACCCCUGGAGCAGGCUGGCCCGGGGUGGUGAAGUAGCUGGAGCCCGAUCACAGUCCCGCGGUUUGUCAGGGGGCCCACCUUCUAGAUGACCCCUUAAUAAAGUGAUGGACCCACAG
rnacentral:sRNA from 1 species